rnacentral:rRNA from 1 species
GACGAACGCUGGCGGCGUGCUUAACACAUGCAAGUCGAACGGGCCUUGUCCCCUUUUUUUUUGGGGGUGGGGUUAGUGGCGAACGGGUGAGUAACACGUGAGUAACCUGCCCCUCACUUCUGGAUAACCGCUUGAAAGGGUGGCUAAUACGGGGUGUUCUGGCCUGCUCGCAUGGGUGGGUUUGGACAGUUUCGACCGGUCUGGCUGUUUUGGUGGGGGAUGGGCUCGCGGCCUAUCAGCUUGUUGGUGGGGUGAUGGUCUGCCAAGGCUUUGACGGGUAGCCGGCCUGAGAGGGUGGGCGGUCACACUGGGACUGAGACACGGCCCAGACUCGUACGGGAGGCAGAAGUGGGGAAUAGUGCACAAUGGGCGCAAGCCUGAUGCAGCGACGCCGCGUGAGGGAUGGAGGCCUUCGGGUUGUGAACCUCUUUCGCCAGUGAAGAAGGUCCUGCUCUUUGUGGUGGGGUUGACGGUAGCUGGGUUAAUGAAGCGCCGGCUAACUACGUG